GAUGAACGCUGGCGGCGUGCCUAAUACAUGCAAGUCGAGCGAACGGACGAGAAGCUUGCUUCUCUGAUGUUAGCGGCGGACGGGUGAGUAACACGUGGAUAACCUACCUAUAAGACUGGGAUAACUUCGGGAAACCGGAGCUAAUACCGGAUAAUAUUUUGAACCGCAUGGUUCAAAAGUGAAAGACGGUCUUGCUGUCACUUAUAGAUGGAUCCGCGCUGCAUUAGCUAGUUGGUAAGGUAACGGCUUACCAAGGCAACGAUGCAUAGCCGACCUGAGAGCGGGACCGGCCACACUGGAACUGAGACACGGUCCAGACUCCGACGGGAGGCAGCAGUAGGGAAUCUUCCGCAAUGGGCGAAAGCCUGACGGAGCAACGCCGCGUGAGUGAUGAAGGUCUUCGGAUCGUAAAACUCUGUUAUUAGGGAAGAACAUAUGUGUAAGUAACUGUGCACAUCUUGACGGUACCUAAUCAGAAAGCCACGGCUAACUACGUG
rnacentral:rRNA from 1 species